rnacentral:misc_RNA from 1 species
UUUUUUUUUUUUUUUUUUCAUAGGGGGGGAUUCAAUUGACAAGACUAGUCAUGAAAGUAUAUAAACAAAGAUUUGGGUUAUGUAACUCAAUUUUUAUGGUUUUUUUAUUCUGCUAUAAUUUCAAACCAUCAUGGGAUCAAAGAAUUUCCUUGAUUUUACUUGGAAAUAGCUAAAGAAUCUAACUCUAUCUCAUAUUUUAUGACCAAUUCUAAC